CAAACUACUAAUCUUUGAUACCGCUUUAUACUCACGAUCUUGUAUCCACUGAUUAUCUCGUUAGAUUAAUCCAAUAAAUUUCAUUCACUCCGCAUACUCAAUCCUAUAGACACCUUUUUAAUUCUUCAUCACAGACGUAACUCGAUUUCACAAAAUAGUCAAGAGCAAUCACACCUUCUUCAUUAAAAAUCCAGAUUCCAAUAUAAUACUUCAACUAUUCAGCAACGAUUGCCUCAGUCUUCCCAAAACCCUAU
rnacentral:lncRNA from 1 species